GGAGAAUUUACAUUGAUUUUUGUUAUGUGAGGUCUCAGGUAAAAAACUUUCCAUAUAGACAGCUCUUAAAAUAAUCCAUCACGGGGACUAGAACCAGAAAGAUAAUGGGACCCAACUAUUAAUCUCUUGUUGCUGUUCAGAUGAAUUGGCUUUACCGGAAGACAGACUACUAAAUAUCAGUGUUACAUAAAACUAAAUCAAAAGGAUGAGACAGCCAAACUAGGCUCUGUGUGCUUUCACCCUUCAUUUAAGAAUAGCAAUGGAUGAGAUCUUGGGACAUAUGAAGAUCACUCUCCUGCUUCUCUGGAUUUGGGUGCUUUCCUUUUUGACUACAUGGCCCCACAUUGGCCACAGUAUUGACCUCAGUCCUCCAGAAGUGGUGAAACCCUUAAGGAUAAUUGGCACUUCUAGAGGCAUGAAGACUAUGAACUGGGUCUCUUACAGCCUACAUCUUGAGGGCCAGAGAUAUAUUGUCCACAUGAAGAAAGAUGAAGAAAAUGUUCCAGCUCCACCUGAGGCAGAAAACCAAAACGUCCAAGCUUCACCGGGGAAGCAGACCAAAAUGUCCAAGAUCCACCCGGGGAAGCCAGGCAAAUAGCCAAUGCUCCACCCAGGAAAGCAACCCAAAAGGCUCCCAAUAAACCUAAGAAAUAAUGGCACAAAGUUACAAUUUUUAAAAAUAAACUAAAUCCCAAUGAAAUUCCCAUUUAUUAUUUUUAGUGUUUU
rnacentral:lncRNA from 1 species